rnacentral:rRNA from 1 species
AUUGAACGCUGGCGGCAGGCCUAACACAUGCAAGUCGAGCGGAUGAAGGGAGCUUGCUCCUGGAUUCAGCUGCGGACGGGUGAGUAAUGCCUAGGAAUCUGCCUGGUAGUGGGGGAUAACGUCCGGAAACGGGCGCUAAUACCGCAUACGUCCUGAGUGAGAAAGUGGGGGAUCUUCGGACCUCACGCUAUCAGAUGAGCCUAGGUCGGAUUAGCUAGUUGGUGUGGUAAAGGCCUACCAAGGCGACGAUCCGUAACUGGUCUGAGAGGAUGAUCAGUCACACUGGAACUGAGACACGGUCCAGACUCCUACGGGAGGCAGCAGUGGGGAAUAUUGGACAAUGGGCGAAAGCCUGAUCCAGCCAUGCCGCGUGUGUGAAGAAGGUCUUCGGAUUGUAAAGCACUUUAAGUUGGGAGGAAGGGCAGUAAGUUAAUACCUUGCUGUUUUGACGUUACCAACAGAAUAAGCACCGGCUAACUUCGUG